UGGGGAAUUUUGGACAAUGGGGGAAACCCUGAUCCAGCCAUGCCGCGUGAGUGAAGAAGGCCUUCGGGUUGUAAAGCUCUUUCGGCUGGGAAGAAAUCGCACAGGCUAAUACUCUGUAUGGAUGACGGUACCAGCAUAAGAAGCACCGGCUAACUACGUGCCAGCAGCCGCGGUAAUACGUAGGGUGCGAGCGUUAAUCGGAAUUACUGGGCGUAAAGCGUGCGCAGGCGGUUGUGCAAGACAGAUGUGAAAUCCCCGGGCUCAACCUGGGAACUGCAUUUGUGACUGCACGACUAGAGUACGGCAGAGGGGGGUAGAAUUCCACGUGUAGCAGUGAAAUGCGUAGAGAUGUGGAGGAAUACCGAUGGCGAAGGCAGCCCCCUGGGCCGAUACUGACGCUCAUGCACGAAAGCGUGGGGAGCAAACA
rnacentral:rRNA from 1 species